GUGACUAUGCGACGCCGCGUGGAGGAUGAAGGCCUUCGGGUCGUAAACUCCUGUCAGGGGGGAAGAAACCCUUAUAUUUAAAAGAUGUAAGGCUGACAUCACCCCCAAAGGAAGCCACGGCUAACUCUGUGCCAGCAGCUGCGGUAAGACAGAGGUGGCAAGCGUUGUUCGGAAUCACUGGGCUUAAAGGGCACGUAGGCGGCCCGGCAAGUCGGAUGUGAAUCCCCUGGCUUAACCAGGGAACUGCAUCCGAAACUACCGGGCCCGAGCGCAGGAGGGGAGAGCGGAACUCCUAGUGGAGCGGUGAAAUGCGUAGAUAUUAGGAGGAACGCCGGUGGCGAAAGCGGCUCUCUGGCCUGCAGCUGACGCUGAGGUGCGAAAGCUAGGGGAGCAAACAGGAUUAGAUACCCUGGUAGUCCUAGCCCUAAACAAU
rnacentral:rRNA from 1 species